rnacentral:snoRNA from 1 species
AAAAUAUGUUCCUUAAUAACAUACCUAACAGUGUCAUUAUGAUGAAGGGCACAAAAUUUGUAGCCUCCCUAUGAACAAAUACCCUAGUUGU